AGAGGGAGCUAAAGCAAUCCUAGAUGAACUCUAAUAAUUUCACUUGGACACUUGUCAAACGUCCUGUUGCUUAUCAUUGAAUUGAAGCAUGCCAUUGCCAGUUCAACUGUUUCCUCUCACUUGAUAUCUUUUGCUGCUGAUCGUAGCAUGCCUAGAAGCAGCAGUGAGGAUUUUGCAGAGUGGUAUUCUAAGAAAUUCGACUGUUGGACAUGGGUGUUAAGAAACGGACCAAGAGAGUGGAAGGCUGUCUCAUCAGCACCCGA
rnacentral:lncRNA from 1 species